UACGUAGGGCGCAAGCGUUAUCCGGAAUUAUUGGGCGUAAAGAGCUCGUAGGCGGUUUGUCGCGUCUGCCGUGAAAGUCCGGGGCUCAACUCCGGAUCUGCGGUGGGUACGGGCAGACUAGAGUGUGGUAGGGGAGACUGGAAUUCCUGGUGUAGCGGUGGAAUGCGCAGAUAUCAGGAGGAACACCGAUGGCGAAGGCAGGUCUCUGGGCCAUUACUGACACUGAGAAGCGAAAGCAUAGGGAGCGAACAGG
rnacentral:rRNA from 1 species